rnacentral:lncRNA from 1 species
GAGUGGAAUUUGAGAAUAGACUUGAUAGGAUUUCUAUAAGCAUUGAUUUUGUGUGAUUUGGAUUUGUAAUGACCUCGUAAGAGCCUUGUAAAGUCAAGAUUGUUUCAAAUGACUUGGAUUUUUGUAAAAUAAAAGAGGGUUGAUAUUUUGGAUAAUUUCAAGAAUUUUGUAGUAGAUCUAUAGAUGAAAUUUUGUAGGUUAAUGGUUAUAGCUGUGCUUAAUAUGUGCUAUGAAUUUUAACUUGAUCUAAUAGAUGAAUUCAGGAUAAUUGAGGUUUAAGUGGGUUAGGAACUUAGAAAGUAGAAUUUUAGAUCUAAUGAGGGUUUCUAAGAUUUCUUACAAUUUAUAAGUUAGAUUAGAGUAAAAGUUAUGUAUGUAGGUAGUAGACUUAUUUUUAUACAUAUAUGAAAAAUUUGAGAUCAAAUUAAUAGUGCAAAAGGGAGAUAUUAAUACUAAAAGAUCAGCAUCAAGGUUGGAGAAGAAGGCCGGCCAACAUUUGAAUAGAUUUUAGGAUUUUUCUUCUAUUUGGUAAGUGCGAUUGUCUUUAAAUUUAUUAUAUUUUUUUAUAACUAAGAGAUUGAGAGGUGUUUAAAUUUUCAAAUAAGAUCAAUGGUUUAAUAAAAAGAUAUCAAGGUUUUAAACUACCUUAGGAUUUAAUUAGGAUUUGAUUUAGGAUUUAGGAUUUGAUUAGGAUUUCGUUAGAAUUUGAUUUGGAAUUUAGGAUUUGAUUAAGAUUUAGUUUAGGAUUUAUGAUUGAUUAGGAUUUGAUUUAGGAUUUAGAAUUUGAUUAGAAUUUGGUUUAGGAUUUAGGAUUUGAUUUAGGAUUUAGGAUUUGGUUUGGGUUUGGUGUAGAAUUUAGGAUUUACUUAAGGUUUGUCUAGGGUUUGAUUUAGAAUUUAGGAUUGGUUAGGGUUUGAUUUAGGAUUUAGGAUUUGAUUAGGAUUUGGUUAGGAUUUUGUUUAGGAUUUAGGAUUUGCUUAGAAUUUGGUUUAGGAUUUAGGAUUUGAUUAUGGUUUGUCUAGGAUUUGAUUUAGGAUUUAAGAUUUGAUUAAAAUUUGAUUAGGAUUUAGUUAUGGUUUUUCUAAGAUUUGAUUAGGGUUUGGUUUAGGGUUUAGAAUUUGAUUAGAAUUUGUCUAGGAUUUAGUUUAGAGUUUAGGAUUUAGGAUUUCUCUAAAAUUUGAUUGAAUUUUAUUAGGAUUUCAAUUAGGAUUAAAUUAGAACUUAAUUAAAAUUAUUUAAGAUAUAUUGUGAUUAUUUUAAUAUUUUAUAGAGCUUCUUAAAGAUUCUUUUGAAGUUUAUUAUAAAUUAUCUUUCAACUCUUUUAAGAUUUCUUAUUAUUUAUUUUUUAAUUUCUUUAAGGUUUCUUUUUGAAUUUGAUUAAAGCUGCUUUAGCAUUGUUAAAUUUUAAUUAAGUUUUAUUUAAUAUUCUAUUAGAGUUAGAAUUUUGUUAUUAUAAUUUCCAUUCUAUUUUUUGUAGCUAGGUACCUGAUGCACUCUCGAGCAAUACUUUACAUAUUACAACGGUUGUCGUAAAAAAAUGAAAAGUGAUUAGAAUACAUAAAAAUUAAGAUAUCUCAUCUUUCAUUUUGUUAAUUUAUACCAUCAUUAGAGAACUAAAAGACAUACAAUAUUUACUAAAUGAUACUGCUAUAGUACACAAAAUAUUAAAUGGCCUACACUCUUGAUUUAUUAGUUUCUUUCAAAUGCUUAAAAUAAAAAGAUAAUUUUUAUUUUAAAUGAAUUAAUAAGUUGGUUAUUAAUGGAAGAAAUAAAUGCAAAGUUACAUACUUUUUGAAGAAAUAAUGAAGCUCUAGUAAUAUGUAUUUGAAUUGCAAUCAAUCGAUAUCAAUUUAAAAGAAACUUUGACAAAUCAUGGACAUAUACUUUUUCACAUCCAAUAGCUCAAACAUAAUCAACAAGAAUUUGAUGAUAAAAGCUAAUUCUUUGAUUAAAGAUCAUUCAAAUACUUUAGAAGAGAUAUUAAAGUGUUUAGUGACUUAUAUUUAAUUUGAAAUCCUAGGAUUAUAACUUCUAAAAGAAAUUAAUUUUAUGCCAUCAUAGUCCAUAGAAUAUUUGCUUAUACACAUAUGAAUGAAAUUCAAUAUAUAUCUGAUAUCAAAUAUGUAUUUGAUCUUUACAAAAAAAAUUUGUUUUUUACUUAGUUUAUAGACCUUGCCACAUGAUUAUAUUCACAAAAUAAAAAUAUAAAGCUCUCUCUAAUAAGAAACUAUUUUAGAUUACAACAAUUAGUACCAAAGAUAUCUCAAAUGGACUAUAUAAAUUAGACACAUCCAAAAUAUCAUAUUAGCCACUUCUGUCCUACUUAAGAGAACUUACAAAACUAAGUCAAAAUUAUUCUAAAGACAAACUAGAAAUUAUUAUUGCUAGAAGCAAACUUAGCAUAAGUAGACAAAAAAUUGUCAUAUUUCUAAUAUUGUAGGAUGGAAUACAUUAAUUAUUCAAGAUUAUUUGAUCUUAGCAAGAAAAAUUUAGUUAUAUGAAUACUUAGAUUAAGACCAAUAAAAAUUAAUUUUUUUAUUUGCUUAAAAACAAAAAAAUAAACUUAAAAAGAACAUAUUCAAACAUAUCGUUUAUUGGUCUAUUAAACUACUUAAGUUAAUCUAUAUAGACUUAUGUAGACCACUUUCAACUACCUCAUUAGGAGGUUCAAAUUAUUUUAUGAUGCUUAUAAAUGACUACUUUAAAAAAACAUGGAUUUAUUUCUUAUCUACCUAAGUCUAUGCAUUUAGUAAAUUCUUGCAAUUUAAGAUCAUGAUCUAAAAACAUACACUCUAUAAGAUUCAAAUCCUUUGCUUAGAUUAUAGAAGAAGAUUUUUAUUAAAAUAUUUUAGCAAUUAUCUACGUACUUUUGUAAUAGAGAGAGUUAGCUUCUAAGAAGCGCUAGGCUUCUUGCUACCAUUAAUUACUCAAAUAAGUUAUAAGUUUAUAAAAUAUAAAUCUUAUUUAUAGCUUGUCCUCAUGAAGACAAUUACAUCAAAUAUAUAAGUCCUAAUUACAUAAGAAUCUCCAAGAUAUGACUAGAUAUCUUAAUAUUACUUCUAUUCUUAUGGAAAUUCCUUCUAAAUCUAUAUCACCAAAUAACUUCCAAUAUAAUUGUCUAAUUGGAUUCAAACUUCUCUAUAACUUAACUUAUAUCUUUAUCUACUUCUAUAAAAAAUAUCAACUAUAGAUUCAUUAUGGACCUUUAGAUAUGGUAUAAUUUCUAAUAAAUACUAAAUAUAUUAAUUUCUAAACAUCCAUGCACUAAAUCCAUCAUAUCUUAAAAAUCCAACACUCAAAUACCAUAAAAUAUUAUAUACAACUUCUUAAUAUAGUGAUUUACAUAUGAAAAUUUUCAACCAAAACUUCAUCCAAAAAUUCAAGAUAUGGCCCACAUUAAAACCUCUAUGAAAAGAAUUUACCUAUAAAUUCUAAUUUUGAAGCAUUGACUUCCAAUAGUUCUUUCUCUUUUAUUCUAAAUUUAAAUUUAUUGAUUCUUUCAUAUAAAAUUUAGCUCUUUAAGUCAACUUUUGAACUUCACUUGUUAAUUUUUAAAAGCUCUCACACAAUUCCUUGUAUUCAAAAAGUGUGGCAAUAGGUACAAUUUUAAGACCCUAAAUUCAAGCAUCUAUUUCUUCCUUAUAAAAACUCCAAAUUCCUUGAUAUUUACACAAAAAUUAUUGUUUUCAAUAUAAGUCUAGAAAUGCUAAUCUUUGAGUUUUAAAUAUUUGCUUUGAAGUAGUGUCAAAUUCCAAUAUGGUUUCAAACAAAAUCUUAAAGUCCAUUAGACAUAACCUUUAAUCAAAAAGAAUGAAGCUUUCUAUCAACUUGCCUUAUCCAUCUAUUUAGAAUGGCUUAGAAAUUAAAAUAUUAUACCUUUGAUAUCAAAGCCCUUCUAAAAUUCUUAUCAAUAAAUUUAAUAACUUUUAUCUUUAAUUACAAAAUUUAAAAUACAAAUUUAAGAAAAUUAAAUAAGUAUUUUAUUUUAUUUUAUUUAUUUAUUUUUAAUUAAUUAAUUAAAAAUCAAAUUCUCAAAUUAUUUCAUAUUAUUUUUAUACAUUACGGUACUUUCUACAACAUCCAAUCUUUCUAAACCUAUACAUCUUUUAGUAUGUGCCAAUUUAACCAUCACCAUCUUCUUCAUCAUCUCCAUCUUUUUUUCCAUCUUCUAUUUAGUCUAUAUCUAAUAUUUCAAAAUUUAAAAGAUUAUUUAGAAUAAAUUUGUAAUUUCUUCUCUUGAAUGCCUUGAUUUACUUUUUAGCUACAAAUAUCUUCAACAUCAUACCAUCCAACUCACAAAGCAAGUAGGUGGCAUUAUCAAAUAUUGUUACUAUCAUAUAUGGUCCAAUCCAUCUUUGAGAAAACUUUCUAAGAGUACUAUGUUGAUGCUCCAAACUACUAUCAAACACUAAUAUCUAAUCUUCUUCUGCAAUUGGUUUGGAUCUCAAAAAGUGAAUCUUUCCAAACCUCUCUUUGUUGCUUAAUUUAAUAGCCUUUAAUUUCUCUAAUAUAAUUUCUUGAUCUUUAUGUAAUCUUUCAAGCUGUUGAAUCAAAAGCUCAAAUUAUCUUACUUUUGUGAUAUCAUUCUUUUAAUCCAACAAUAUCUAAGUAGAUACAAAAUCUUUUAUAUGUAUAAUUGGCUUUUAACCUAAUAUUAGCUCAAUAAGCAUAUAAUCAAUAAUAAUAUUAUAAAUAGUUCUAUCUAUCCAUAAAGCAAAUGAUAGAAGUCUUGGCUAUUAGUUUGGCUUAUCUCUACAAGCCUUGAUAAGAAUAUUAAUGAUAACAAGAUGUCUUCUCUUACUGUUACCAUUAGCUUCAAACUUAUAAGUCAUUUAUCAACUUCAACUUCACACCAUAUCUUUGAAAAAAAUCUUUGGCUUCUAGUAUAUCUAAUUUUCUUCAAUCAACCCUCAUCCUUCCAAUGCUGCCAUAUUUGCUAAAGAUAUCUUCCAAAAUGAAUUUAUAUAUUCCUUCUAAGGUCUUCAUCUUCAAAGCUCUAUCUUCAACAUAAUUUGAGAGUUCUUUUCUUGCCAAAAUAAGAUACUUUAUGCUCCAUAAUUCCAAUGGCAUAGCCACCAAGUUAAUCACAUACUAGAAAUGCAUGGCAAGUAGAUAGAUAAGAUGCAUCUCAUCUCUGAAUCUGACUUUGGACUACAAUUGGUAUUCAAUACAAGAAGCUACAAAUUCUUCUACAUCUUUAUAGAGCCUCUUCUACUAAUACCACUUCUUAAUCUUAUAGUAGAUGGUCUAAACUCCUUUAUGGUCAGCCCAAAGUGUAUCAUAAAACUCUUUAAAAACUUAAUUCUUAUUUUUUAUAUCAUCUACCACUUUUAAUGGUACCCUAUUCUUUCUCUUUGGUUUCUUUUGCAAAGAACUAUCUCUCAAAAUAUAGUCUUAAGACUAAUAUUUGAUAUCUUUGAAUGCCUUAUUUGAUCAACUUUCUUGUUUCUUCAAGAUAUUCAAAUUAAUGUCAAUAUCUCUUAAUUUACUUCUAUAAAGAUCUUUUCUAAAAGCCUCAUCUUUAUUACUUUUACUUAUUCAAUUAAUAGUUAGCAUAUAGCCAUAGUUUUUAUCUUCAUCAUCUUUACCAAUCUCUUAUAUCUCCAUCUUUUCUUCUCAAAUAUAUCUAGUUUUGAAUAGCAUGUUUGCCACAAAAAUUUUCUUGCUAGAAAUACAUACCAAUAUAAAAUUCAGUGAUUUGAUAUAGGCUAUCUACCUCAAUAUGGUAAUAUUAGGAAUAAUUUUUUUUCAAUAAUAUUCAAAAAUAAUAAGCAAUCAAUCUCCAAUAUCACAUUGAUUCUAAUUAAAUAAUUUUUGUUUGCUUUCACAAUUAUAAGUACUCUCAAAAGCUCUUAUUUUACUUGUAGAUAUGCUCUUUAUGUAUUUGUGAUAAUUCUUGCUCUAAUUUUAAUGACAAAACUCCUACCUUUUAUAUCAUCUUCAUCAAUAUUCUAUUUAAUAGUAAUUGGAUUUGUAUCAAUAGUAACAACAACUAAUCUACUUUUGCCUCAAAAUUGGUGUUGACUUCAAAAUUUCUUUUAGACCAUCCAUUGUUAGCUUUUGCUUUUGUUUUAUCUAAAAUUAGUCUUUUUUUUUUUGAAGAAAUUAUAUAAUAACUCAACUAUAUGAGCAAAAGAAGGAAUCCAAAUCUGAUAGAGGACACAUACUCCCAAAAACUUCUUUACUUCAAAGUUGCUAUUGCAUGCUUUCAUCCUAGUAAUAGCAUCAAUCUUCUCAAGGUUAGAUUUUCUACCAUACCUCCCACAUAAGUAUCUAACUACUAUAAUCUCAUUAAUUCCAAAUUUUAACUUAUCAAUAAAUAAGGUUAGAUCUACCUCUUCAAACUUCUUUAAAUCCUUCUCUACAUCUUCAAUGUGAUCUUUCACAAACUUUUUGUAUUUAUCAAUAUCCAAUGUUAAGUUUAUAGCUUCUUCUUUACAACCUUUGAUAGGUAUAUCAUCUACAAAAAGAAUAGAUUUUUUAAGAACAAAAUUCUUUAAUAUUUGAUUUAUAGCAUUUUGUAUAUGAGCUACUAAGUUAAAAAAAAGUACACAAUGUCAUAGGUUCUAAUAGAAUCUUUAUGAUUAUCAAAUUUUUAGUUUUUGAUGCAACCUGACAUUGAUCAUAACUAUAAGGCAUGUCUUGCAAAAGCCUCAAUAAUUUCAUAAUUGAUCUCGGUUCUUUGUUUCUAAUUGUCACCUUAUUGGCUAACUGCAUAUCUUGGAUGAAUUUCAAAGCUUGAAACUUCUUUGGAACUAUAAACCAUUAAUUAGAAUAUAAAAUAAUAGAUGGUUCAAGUAUUUCCAUUUGUAUUUUUUCUUUCAAUAGACUAACUAACUUAGAUAGCAAGGCUUUUGGCAUAAGAAUUAGCUUCAAAUUCCAAAAUAAAUGUGGAAUAGUGAAUGUAACUAUUAGUAUAAUAACUUUUGGAUUAACACAUCUAAUCUCAUCUAAUAAAGAGGCAAAAGCCUUACUAUUAUUGGAAAUCAUUUCUUAAAAUCUUUUAUUUUGAUAUUCUUUCAAAAAUUCACUUCUUUUAAUUUUUAGCUUAGCCAAUGUCUCUUCCAUAAAAUUGUACCUAAUUCUGUUUAUUUCUCACAAUCCAAGCUCUUUUUUAGCCUUCUUGAUAUGAUCUUUGAAAUUUGAUGGCAAUUAAGUUGCGACUGAUUUUAUCUUCUUUGCCACAGUCUUAUACCUAAUAUUCACCAUUGCUUUAGUUUUCAAGCCAUAACUUCCAACUAACCUUAUAUUAGUAGCUAACUUCAAAAUCUCUUCAUCCAAGCAUCUUAAAUGAAUCUCUAGUAUCAUAUCAAUAGAUAUAAUAUCAUUUCUUUAAACAAUCUCUAAAACUUAUAAAAUAUCAUCUAAAAAUCUUUUUUCUUCAAUAAUUCUAAAAAGAAAUUUUUCAUUCAAAAUCAAAUCAACUCUUUUUAAUUUUUUUUAAAUCUUUUUAAUUGAUCUUUUAUACAUUGAUCCAAAUCUUUAAUCUUUUGAAAACUUACAAAUCUAUUUUUUUUUUAUCAAAUUCCAAAUUUUACAACUACUCCUUUGUAUAUUUAUACAUAUCAUGGUAGAAAAUUUCUUUACACUUGUGGCAUCCCAUACUCCACAUGUGUAAUCUAAAAAUUCAAAAAAUCAUCAUAUUCAUUAUAACAAGAUAUAAAUUAGAUAAUUAUAUAGAUAAUUAGAACCAUGGAAGUUUCUAGAAUUAGGAUUAGGUUAAUGGAUCACGUAGGAUCCAUUGUAGAAUAUUCUAAAAAAAAAUUUAGGGCGAUUAUUUAGGUAGAAUCUAUCAUAGAACUUAAUUAUUUUUUAAAUCCUAUUUUGUGUAAUUUUAUUCAAUUCUAUUAUGAUCUGUCUUGUCAUAUUUUAUGAUGAGAUUUAUAUUAUUAUGGAAUAAAAAGAUCUUUGAUUUUUGAGAUAGUCUGGUCUUGUUUCAUUGAUAUCAUGUGAGUGUUAGAUUGUUUAUUUUUGAUAGCAUGUCAAUAGAUAUCAUAUAGUCCAAGGUUAGUUGUUGUGGUUACACUAGGUAUUGUGUUGAGGCUACUAUGAGCUACUCUUAAAAAGUCAAUCGGGAGGUGAAAAGAUAUUACAAUAGUGGAGUCCAACAAAGAAACUACAAUAUGAGAGAUAUGGUAGAGCAAUCCUAGAUGGAGGCUCAAAUACAACACAUCUUAGGCCAGAUAGCUACUUUACAAAGAUAAAUAGAAGCCUCAAAGAUAAGUGAUUUAAGAUUUACUAGAUUGAAAUUGAAUAAGCCUAAUACAUAUUGUAGAACUUCAAGAUAAGAAGAUAUAUGUCAAUGGCUCUUUAACAUGUGACAAUACCUCCAACUAUCUAGGACAAAUACCACUGAAGGAAUUAUAUAUGCAGCCUGUUAUUUGAUGGAUGUAGUAGCCAUUUGGUGGCAACAUCGAGUUCAAAACUAUGGAAUUGAAGGUAGAUUUUGUGAUUGGAAAGAGUUUGAAACUAAGUUUAGGAAUCAUUGUUGGUCCAUCAAUGCAAAAAAGAUAGCACACAAUUAAUUAGUAAAUCUUACAUAAGCUAGAUCGAUGCAAGAUUAUGUCUCCCAAUUCAAGUCCUUAUAUCUCCAAAUUGACAAUAUUUUCGAGGCACAUAUGAUGGAUCAAUUCCUACAAGGUUUAAAACGUGGAGUUUAGCAAGAAGUGGAGCUAAAAGAUCUACAAGCAUUUAAAGAAGCAAUUCAAAUUGCAGAGAGGAUUAAUGCUAUAGAUUUUAGAAAUCAUGAAGUACGACCUAUAACAAAAAGUCCUAGGCCGCUAUGUAAUAUUACAGCACAAUAAAUAAUACCAAUGAAAAGUGAUGCCUUACAAGGAUCAUUGAUACUACAAAGAUAAUAAAUAUUGGUACAAAAAUGAUUGUGUUUCUAUUAUCAAGAGUCAGGCCAUUAGAUCAAAAGUUGUUCAAAAUGUCAAAAUACAAGUACUAGUAAGACAAGGUACAUUUAUAGUCUUGAAAUUCACUAAGCCAAUAAUGAAUUAGAAUAAGAAAAAGAGCUCUCCAAUAAAGGUGUUGGGGGCCAAUAUUGGAAAUAGCUAUUAUCUCUCAAAGACAAAUGGCAUAGCCUUCAAAAAUUAUAAAAAGAAUUAACUGAGGUAUCUAAUGGGAAUAUUAAGAAGACAACCAUAUUAAGUACUUGUGGAUUGUGGCUCUAUAGAAAAUUACAUCUCAAAUAAAAUUAUCGAUUGGUAUGGAAUUCAAAUCAAGAAAAUCAAGGGAAGAAAUAUAUAUCUUGGAGAUGAUCAUUGUCGUGUUGUGGUUCAGCUAUCAUGUAAAAAUAAUAAGAUUAUGUAUUUAAUAUAUAAUUUACUUAACAACAUGGUAAGAGCCAUGUUACUAGAUUUUAGUUCGUUGUAGAAUGUGGUUAAAUUAUUAUUUUAAAAAUAAAUUAUUUAAAAAGAUUACUAUUAGAAUUUAUAUAACUUUAUUUUCUUUUGAUAGUAGCUUUUGAGAUUGAUUUUGUUGGUAGUAAUUUUAAAUAUUUAGAAUCAUCUUUAUUAAACAUUGGUGACCCUUGAAGUCUUACUUUGGUUCUUUAAUUUGUUUCAGUGAUACAAGAGUAUAUUAAGGAUUUUCUGAGGCCAUAUUAGAGAUUAGGAUUAGUUUUUUGGUGCCAUUCGAGCUUUGAAAGCUAUUGUCAGCAAGUUUAGAUUUUUGACUAUGGUUUUGGUACAAAUCUUGUAUGAUUUGGAGUUUAUAUGAAGGAGAUAUAGGCACUCAAAGUUAAGAUGUUGAUUUGGAAGCUACUAUCCCUAUUUUUGACAUAAUACAUGCAUAUGGAAGGCAAUUGAGGAUUUGUGACUGCGACUAGAGAGAACACUUUUGCGGCUACACUUUUUGUAUAUUAUUUGUUGGAUUCCAAGUUAAAGUAAAGGAUUUAUUAGAUUUUGAAGUCAACACAUGCAAUCUAAGAGUAGUAAGUGACUUGAUUUAUUAGAUUUUGCUAUAUUUUGAAUUUUGUGCAAAAUAAAAGAAUUUUAGAAGCUAAGACAAGAUACAUAUAGAAGUUUAAACUAAACUCUCUAUAGAUAGAUACCUAGUGUAUUCCCAGAUAGUAAAUCACGCUAUACGAUAUCGUGAAAACGUCUUGAAUGAGACAUGUGAAGAAGAAACCUUGAGAGUGAUAGAUACUUACGUCUUAAGAAAGAGAUUCAAGGUGACAAAGCUAAGGUAUGAUGUUAUCCUUGGUAUGCCAUGGCUAAAGAUGGAAAAUAAAAAAAUUGAUUAGAUAGCAAGAAUAAUCUUUUUUAAAAAUAGAAGAUGUAAGGUAACUCUUUGGACCUCCACAUCAAAUGAAGAGAAAAGACAACCUACAACCAAAGACUUACUUAUAAGAACAACCUUUAUGAAGAAGCAAUCACAGUAUGAGCAACUAGUAUAUAUAGUGGUUCUAAAUUUUGCAUCAAUGGUCGAAAAGACAACAAAAGGUAUAAAAGAGGCACAACAAUUCAUACGAGAAUAUCAAGAGGUCUUUCCAACCGACCUAUCUAGUGGUAGUCCUAUUGAUCGAGGUGCUCCUUUUCAAAUAGAACUAUUGCUUAAAGCCAAAUCAAUAAGUUGACCAAUUUAUUGUCUAAUACCAAAAGAACUUGAAGAGUUGCAAAAGAUAUUGGAUAAAUUCUUGGAGAAUGGCUUCAUUCAAAAAAGUACAUCUCCAUGGAGAGUACCUACAUUUUUUGCACCUAAGAAAGAUGGUGGAUUUUACCUUUGCAUUGACUAUCGAAGUUUCAAUAAGCAGAUUGUUAAAAAUGCAUAUCUACUUUAAUGCAUUGAUGAUCUUCUUGACCAAUUUUGAGGUACGACCAUCUUUAGUAAAUUGGAUCUUUGGAGCAACUAUUUACAAAUAACUUUUGCAAAGAAGGAUGUAAAAAAGAUGAUAUUUUGUACAUACUAUAGAUAUUUGGAAUGGCUGAUUUUACUCUUUGAUCUCACCAAUGCUCCAACCUCUUUCAUGAUUCACAUGAAUAGAUUUUUUUGAGACUUUUUGGACAAAUAUGAAGUCGUCUUCAUUAAUGAUAUCUUUAUAUAUAGUAAAAUCCUUGAAAAGCAUGAGCAACACCUAUAAGAAGUACUGCGCCAACUACAAAAUAAUAUCUUCUAUUGUAAGCAAUCAAAAUGUAAACUUUGGAAGUCAAAAGUCACGUUUUUGGAACAAGUGGUGUAUUCCAAAGGUAUAUGUAUAGAACAAAAUAAGGUGAAAGCAGUAGAAGAUUGAACAACUUCUAAAGAUGCUUUUGAAGUUUUAUUAUUUUUAGACCUAAGUGGAUACUACCGUCAUUGUCAUAUUAUGUGUUAUCUUACUCACAAAUGCACCGAGGACCUAGCUGUAAAAGGUACGAUUAUAUUUGAUAAGUAGCCAAGAAAUCCCUCAUAGGUUUUAUCCAUACGAGAAGAAUAUAAUCUGAAUUUCUAUUCAAAAGUACUAAAAACACUCUUUUUAGUAGUCUUAAUUAUACAUAAAUCCCAAUUACCUUGUUACUUUUAUAUUUAAGUAAUUUAGAUUUUUCUUGUAAGCCCCAAUCCUAAUUAGUGAGCUUUAACAAGCUGUAACAUCUAAUUUGAUUGUCUACUUGAUGUAAAAUUUUGCAUGCAAUUGUCAAUAUAAGUCUUCUAUAUGCUCAAGAAUUUUCAAUCCAAUCCAAUUUAUAGAUUGUGAGAAAACCUCCAAAAAUUGCACUGAUGUCACUCAACCACCAACUUGAAAAGUGAAGCAGAAAUCCCAGCAAUGAUUUCUCCCUUUUCAAUCAUUAACAUUAUCUCAAAACUAGUAUGUAGCUUGAUCUUCAAGUCCUUCAAUAUCAUGCCAAUUUUUACCUUAAUUCAAUUAAUAGAUCUUCAGAUAUCAUAGAAAUUCUACUCAACCUCAAAUUGCCACCUUCCAAAAUCUUUUUGUACUAAAAACUAGAUAUCUCAAAACCACGCCUUUAGAUUAUCACAAAUUUUUUUAUAUACUUAGAACAUCUAAUAAUCUAAAAAAUUUUAAAUAUUUAAUCAUAGAUGUUACACCAAUUGCACGAACUAGCCAAAAUUUCUAGCCCUAAUUAUAUUAUAAAAAACCCAAAUCACUGAUACAAACCUUGACUUCGAAUAAGAAUUGCUAAGUCUUUAAAAACCCUUCAAAAACAAUCUUUAUGUCUUUGAAAAGAACUUCAAGAUAGCUCUCAAAUCUUAUCCUCUAAUCUUCAAAUGAAUUCCUAAAUUGCCCUCAUUGGUCAUUUUAGUGACUAGAGGUCUGAUUUCGACCAUGUCUUAUAAAUAGUCGACCCUCAGGUAUCAAUUUAACUUAUCAUAAGGAUUAUUUAGCCCAAUUCUACCCUUAAUUUGAUCCUAGUAUCAACCAUACCAACCAUUUAUCUCUUCUAUCUUGAUUUUAUCAAUUUAUGGUCUUUCUAAAGUAAUAGAAGAGUCUCUACAACCUAGAAGGUAAAAUUACUAACUAACCUUCAAUCUACUAACUAUUUUCUUAAUUAUAUCACGACAUCCAUCCCCUCUUAACUUGUGCAUCCUCCAACAUGCACCAAAUAGAUCAUAUGUUAUAAUUGGUAUCACACCAUCUCUUCAUUUUUUUCGUCAAAUCUUUCAUUUCUAUUUUCACCAUCCUCUUCAAAACAAUUAUUUUCUUCAAAAAUAUCAAUAUCUUCAGCAUGAUCUUUCAUAUUGACUUCUCUAUCUUAUCUUUUAAAAAACUUCACUCGCUUCCCAGCAAUAGGUAUUUUCAACCUGGUACCAUCUAACUCCCUUAAUGAAUAUGUGGCAUUAACAUGAACCGUUACUAUCACAUACGGUCUAAACCAACAUUUUAAGAACCUCCGCAAAGUACUAUAUUAAUUAUCUAGACUGUUAUCAUAAAUAAGUAUCCAAUCACCUUCUUCAAUUGCUCUAGGCUUCAAUCAAUGUUGCUUAUCAAAUCGAGUCUUAUUUCCUAACUUUGUUUUUUGUAGCCUUUUUAAUGCAAGUUCCACAUCUUCUGAUCUUUGUUCAAGUUAUUGAAUUCUAAUGGCUAAUAAUUCUUUCCUUGUCAACCCAUCUUCCCAUUGUAGCAUACUCCAAGUUAGCACAUUUUUUUCAAUUGGCAUAAUUGAUUUUUGACCUGUCAUAAAUUCAACUGGCAUAUAUCCUAUUAGCAAACUAUGUGUUGUUUGAUCAGUCCAUAAUGCAUAUGGUAGAAGUAAAGGCCUUUAUUCUUCUAUUGCAAGCUUUAACUAAGGCUUUUAUAAUUAGUGAAUGCCUACAUUCACUCUUUGUAUUCCCCUCUAGAUUAUAAGCAAUAGUCAAUGAUAAUUUGAUCCCACAUCUCUUAAAAAAAUCACGAGCUUCAUGUGCAUUCAAUUCUCUUUGAUCUGUAGUAAUCUUUUCUAUACAUCCAUAGCGACAAAUAACUUUGUCAAGUAAAAACCUACAAAUUUCUUUUGUGGACUUUAUUCUUAGUGCCCUGCCUUCUACUUGGUUUGAUAAAUCUUCACAAACUAAAACUAAAUAUCUCAUUUGCCAUAGUUCCAUCAGUAUAAUUACCAAAUCUACAAUCCAUUUGAAAUAAAUAGCCAAAAUAUAUGUCGGAUGUAAUCCAUAUCAAUAUCAUAUAUUUGAAUACAUCUAACAAGUUAUACAAGAUUCUACAAAUAAAAUUACAUCUCAAUACAUAUUCUUCCACCAAUAUCGUUCUUUUGUUUAGCAAAAGUAGCCCAAAUUCUUCUAUGUCCCACCUAUAAACUCUCAUGAAACUCCUUAAGCAAUCUUUAUUGAUCUUCUUUUGUACCUACUACUCGUCUUAGCAUUCCAAUUCCUUUCUUUAGUCUCUUCCAUAAAAACCCUUCUUAAAGCAAAAAUCCAUAAGCCUUUUUUUUUAUUUGAUUAAAUUUUUCUAUUGACCAAUUUCCUUGUUUAGUCAAGGUAUUCAAAUAAAGACCAAUUUUUAGUAAUUUUCUUUCAUAAAGCUCUUCAAAAAAUAUCUUGUCUUACUUAUUAAGAUUUGAUACUGAAUAGAAUUUUAUUCCAACAUCAUCAAUAUCUUCAACCAUCUUGUCUUCUCUUUCAUAUAUUGCUCAAGAUAACAUAUCUGCUACCAGAUUGUCUUUUCUUAUAAUAUACCUAAAUUUUGGAUUUAGUGAUUUGAUAUAAGCAAUCUAUCUCAACAUCGCAAUAUCUGGUGUUGUACAAUUGGUAAUCAUUCCAAGUAAAGGCAAACAAUUUGUUUCAAUUACCACCAUAGUUCAAAUCAAAUAAUCCUUUUCAGCUUCCAUAGCUGAAACAACUCCCCAUAGUUCCUUUUUCAUCUGUAAAUAUAUAUGUUGGUAAGUACUUAAAAUCUUAGUUCCAAAUCAUACUACAAAUCUGUGUCCAUUCGAGUCAUCUUGACUAAUAGCCCAUCCAAUGGCAAUCAGACUAGUAUCUACAAUAAAAAUCAUUGAUCUAUUGUACUUAUAAUCAACCUUUCUCAACAUUGGAGGCAAUAUCAAUAAUUUCUUCAAUCUUUGCACUGCUUUAACAUACUUUUUUUUCCAUUUAAAUUGAUAGCCCUUGCAUAACAGUUCAUACAAUAGAUCCGCUAUGUGAGCAUAAUGAGGAAUCCAAAUACCAUAAAAUAUACAUGUAUCUAAAAACUUGCGAACCUUUUUUAAAGAACUACAAUCUUCUUUCAUUCUUCCAAUUACAUCAACCUUAGUAGAAUUUGGUUUUCUUCCAUAAAAUCCACACAAAUGCACAAUUGAGUUAGUUGUGCUUUGAAGAAGAGUACACAUUUUAACUAAUCUAAGUGGUGUUCUCAUCAUUAUCAUAUCUCUACUUCCUUCUACAAGUUGAAAUUGGUCAUAGCCCAAAUACAAAUCAUCCAUUGAAUAGAUUAUCCUAUCUGCAAACACCUCAGUAAAUUCAUCUAUUGUAGGCCAAAUUCUUGCAUUCCUGAUAGUUACUGCAUUCACUAGUUGUAUAUCUUAAAUAAAAUGUAAUGACCCACUUUUCUUAGGGACUAUAAACCAUCGACUAGAAUAUGGUACAAAAAAAAGCUCUAAAAUCUUUAUCUUCAUCUUUUCUUUUAAUAAUUCCACUAAGCUUGGUAAAUGUGCCUUUGGUACUGAAAUUGGCCUUAGAUUCUAAGGUACAUGUGAUACAGUGAAAAUAACCAUAGGUGUUUGGAUCCACAUACCCAAUUUCAUAAGAUUCAAAGGCAAAUGAUCUACCUUAUUUUGCCAACAUUUCUUUGAAGUAGGUAAUUUCUUUUGGCAAUAAAGAACCAUCAGAAUCAAUCUUCAAUUCUUCAAAAGUAUCUUUAGUUAACUUGUGACCAAUAUUCUUUAUAUCUCUCAAGCUCCUUUCUCUUGAUGCUUCUUCUAUUUUUUCUUUAGAAUCUUCUAGCAAAGGUUCAGCAACUAGUUUAACUUUCUUAUCUACUGUCUUAUAUUUUGUCUCAAUUAUAACCUCCAGUGCUUGAAAAGAUUCAAUCAUAUCAUAAACUUCUCUUGAAUGAAUUGGUAUAACUUUAUCAUCAUUACCUAAUUCAAUAGACUCAAUUAAUUCUAAAAGAUUCUCUAGUCUAUUUUUUUCAUAAACACUAAUAAUUUUUUUAUUAUCUUUUAAUAUUCCUAAUCUAUAUAAUUUUUUUUAAUAGUACUUAAUUUCUUUCUUUGUUUUCUUUUUAAAUCAUCAAUCUUCUUAUACAUAAUGCUUUUAUUUUUAAAAAUACUAAUAAAUCUUCCAUCAAAGGCACCUACAUCUUGCGAGAGUACCUCUUCUUUUGUACCUCUAUAAACUCGUUUUAUAGUGGUACCCCCAAAAAAUCCUUGAAUUCUUCAACAAUCGUUGGCAAUGGAUUUUCUCUCAAUUUUUCUCGAUUCCACUCAUGAUUUGGAGGCACAAUCAAAAACUAUAUUGCCUUCAUCUCAAUCCUCUUUAUAAAUUUGUAUAUAAGCGGAACCAUCAUCAAGUACCUUUGUUUCCAUCUGAGUUGCAAUAAUAUAUGGUUGUCCCAAAAUAAGAAGAUGUUGCAUCUUGAACAAAAAAAAUUUAUUCUAUUGCAACAUUAUCAAUCCAAAUUUUCAUAUCCAUGCAAGCACCAUAUAACUCCCCUCAUGUAUUAUUGGCUGCCCGUAUUGUCUAUCUAUGCUCCAUAUCAAUUGACCACCUUUGCUUCAUAUAAAGAUCUUUAGACAUAAGGUUUAUUUCUGAACCAUGGUCAAUCAAAGCAACAAGCAACACAUCCAUAUUUCCAAUCUUUACUAAUGCCUCUAUAGUUGUUUUAGUCCAUUGCUUCUGAGUAUAAUGACUUGAAACCUCUCUAUCUUUAUUACCUUGAUCAUCAAAACGUACCCUUUGAUUAUGUCUCCUUCCUUCACUUCCUGAUUGUUUGUAAAAAUUAUCAAAUACAACUUCCUUACCUUCAUAUAUGUGUACAUCAAUAGCAUCAUUCAAUCUAACUUCGCCCAUUAAUUGCUUCUUUUAUUUAAUACUAUCAAUAAUGACAUCAUGGAAUUCUUUCUUGAUAAUUCCUAAAAUUUCUUUCAAUGUAAACUCAACCUUAGCAUUGAGCACACGUUCGUCAAGCACUCCCUUUAAAUCUGUUGCCUCUUCAAUAUCAGAGAGUAGUUUAUAAGUUAUCAAUUUACCUUUAUCUUUCAUCUCCUUUGGUUUUUCUUCAAAUAUUGUUGAAGUAUCCUUUGUGGACAAUUCUUGGAAAGUCGCUACACGAGCCUUAUCUCCUCGAGUUUGCAUGUAUUAUCAAAUAAUCUUUAAUCAAUGCUUUUAUGCCUCUUUUAUCAAAAUUUAUUUAGAGAAGAUCACCAAUAUCUUUCAAUGCAACCUUCUCAUCUUUCUAAUAAACAAUGCCUUGUUGUACCAUCUCAUCAAAUUCACCACAAUCUUUUCAAGAAUGAGAAUCAUCAUCAUACCAAAUACAUCUUUGUACAUACCCUUGUUUAAAAGUAACCUUUGAAUUUAUUAUAGAAGUCUUUUCUUCAAGCCUUGUAAGUUUGAUUUGAAGAUCUAACAUCCCUUGUACAACCUCCUCAAGUUCCAUAUCUUCUUUCUUUGGUGUAGUAAAUAGAGGUUGGAUAAUAGGUACGGUCAAUUAUGUAGUAGGCAUUGAGAUCUUUGAUACUUGUACCACUCUUUGAGUAUUAAACCUAUCCUUUCUCUUUUCUUUUUUUGCAAGUAAUCCAAUAGCAUCUUCAACAGUUCUCCACUUUGUUGUCAAUCCUUCCUCUUCUUCCUUAUCUUCAAGAAGAACCUCUAACUUCUCUUGUAAUUUUUCAUUAGUAGCUUGAAGAAACAAUUUAACCUUAUUUGAUUCCAAUGUUAAUUUUUCCAUUUUCGAUAAUCGAGAAAAGUAUCUUUCAAAUUUUCUUAAUAAUUUUGUAGCUUGAAAAUUUUUGUUAGGUCGCUCAAUCCAUUUCAAGAAUGAUUUCUUGGUAGCUUGAUUAAUAUCCUCUAAAAAAUACUCAUUCUUCAACGCAUGUAAAAAUACCUCCCAUGAACUUCCAAAUUGCCCCAUAAUAGACCUUAUAUGCUCUCUUAUCUCUAGUACUAUAGCAAGCUCAAAUAAUUGAAUUAUCUUCUUCUCGGAAAUGCAAUUCAAUUCUAUUUCCUACACAUAAUAACUUAAAUAUUUGGAAAUAUUCCACCCAUAAAAUUGGUCAACCUUAUUAAUCACUGCUUGUAAUACUUUGGUUGCCAAAGCUUCUAUGCGAUCAUUGCCCUGUUGCUAUUGUAUAAAUAAUAUAAAUGCUUGAAAUUUUUUUAUAGUAUUUGGAUCAAAGUACAUAUCUUUUUCACUAGUAGAAAUUCCACUUGAAGUUGCGCUUGAAGAUCCAAUUGAAGUUCCAUCCAAAGCUCCAUCAAAAAGUCCAAAUUCAAACUUCUUGCCUUUUUGUGCCAUCAAUUUCAAAUAACCACAAAUAUAAUCCAAUAUCUUCUACUCCAAACUUUCAUGUCAGGUUCACCACUUAUAUCCUAUUACGUAUUGUCUUGCUCACGAAUGCACCAAGAGCCUAGCUGUGAAAGGUACGAUUAUAUUUCACAAGUACCCAAGAAAUCCAUCAUAGGUUUCCUCCAUACGAAAAGAACAUAAUCUGUAUUUCAAUUCAAAAGUGCUAAAAACACUCUUCUUAGUAGUCUUAACUAUACAUAAAUCCCAAUUACCUUGUUACUUUUAUAUUUAAGCAAUUUAGAUUUUUCAUGUAAGUCCCAAUCCUAAUUAGUGAGCUUUAACAAGCUGUAACAUCUAAUUUGAUUGUCUAAUUGAUGUAAAAUUUUGCAUGCAAUUGUCAAUGUAAGUCUUCUAUAUGCUCAAGAAUUUUCAAUCCAAUCCAACUUAUAGAUUGUGAGAAAACCUCCAAAAAUUGCACUGAUGUCACUCAACCACCAACUUGAAAAGUGAAGCAGAAAUCCCAGCAAUGAUUUCUCCCUUUUCAAUCAUUAACAUUGUCUCAAAACUAGUAUGUAGCUUGAUCUUCAAGUCCUUCAAUACCAUGCCAAUUUUUACCUUAAUUCAAUUAAUAGAUCUUCAGAUAUCAUAGAAACUCUAUUCAACCUCAAAUUGCCACCUUCCAAAAUCCUUUUGUACUAAAAACUAGAUAUCUCAAAACCAUGCUUUUAGAUUAUCACAAAUUUUUUUAUAUACUUAGAACAUCUAAUAAUCUAAAAAAUUUCAAAUUUUUAAUCAUAGAUAUUACACCAAUUGUACGAACUAGCCAAAAUUUCUAGCCCUAAUUAUAUUAUAUAAAACCCAAAUCACUGAUACAAACCUUGACUUCGAAUAGGAAUUGCUAAGUCUUUAAAAAUCCUUCAAAAACAAUCCUUAUGUCUUUGGAAAGAAAUUUAAGAUAGCUCUCAAAUCUUAUCCUCCAAUCUUCAAAUGAAUUCCUAACUUGCCCUCAUUGGUCGUUUUAGUGACUAGAGGUCUGAUUUCGACCAUGUCUCAUUGUCAAGGAUAAGAACUCGAUGAAAAGCAAUUCAAACAAGUAAGCCUUUACUUAAAAAAAGGUAAAAAAAUAUAAAUAAACAAGUAUGUAUAUUGAAAGAAAAACUGGAAUGGCUAUUACCAAAAGACAAAAAAACUAGAGACCCUUGAAACUAGAUUGGAAGCAAAAAAAGAGUUGACAAGGGUGAAGAAGGCUUCGAUCUUGACUAUAUAUACUAUCUAACUAGGGACUACAUGGCAACAUUCUAUAGGACCUCCAAUAUGUGUUGACUUUGUAAGACACAUGCCUUGACUUACAAGGCAAGUUUUUCUACAUGUGGGCCACAUAGUUAGCUUGGUCUUCAAGCUAACAACAUGUGUGGCACAUGGCCAACUUCUUGACCACAUUUCUAAUCCAAAAAGUCAAUUAAAGAUACCUAUGAAGUCAAAGCAAUGUCUAUGAAGCUUUUGGAAAGCUUCUGUAUCAAAUACUACAAAAUUAACUUAUUUUUAUCUACUUUUAUUUACUUCUAUCUAUUUAUAUAUGUAAUUACUAGCUUACAUGAAUAUGUCUAUGACAUUACCCCCCUCUCCCUUCUCGAGAUGAGUUCUACAAGGAGCGGUCAUCAUAUGUUGAGGAAAUCUAUGAUACGAUGAAUUGUAUUCGCCACAUACUCUAAUCUUUGUUCUCUUUGAAGAUGAUUGAUUAGGCCUCUGAACCAUCGGUAGUAUCCCAUACCAGGGUGGGAAGAACACCCACUUAUUUAAUCAUUGUUGAGGCCUUCAUAACUUCUUUCGAAUAGAAUAUUUGAAACACCAUCACAAGUUGUUUCUACCUCUAGUAAAAUCACCAAACAUUGGGAGUCCCUUCCUAAGUCGAGAUACCAAACGCAUUGUAUCUUGCCAUCUAUUCGAGGAAGAACAUGUCGUUCUUGAAGAUCUUCAUCUCGAUUGCAUUGUCUUGAAGGUUGUGACAAUUGUAAUGUCUCAUCCAGUAGGUCAGCAAAUGAAGGCUCUUGAGUCAAAUCUGUUGGUUGUUGGUUCUCCAUCUCCUAAGCGUCACAACUAUAAAGAAGCUACAAACAAGGAUUGAAAGUAGAAUGUUAUCUUGCCUAGAUGUUGUUUCUUUUAUAAAGAAGGUUUUUAUCUUGAUUUUAAUAGAUGUCGUCGAUAAAAAGCCUCCACCGCCUUUGCUACAUUUGUAAGAUUCUUUUAUGGCUCCCAUAUAUGUUCACUAAUAUCAUAUCUGCGCCAAUAGACAAGAUAUUCUAAUUUAUUUUGGUGCCACCUUGAAUCUAAGACUUCUUCUACAUCAAACUCUUCAUUAUUGUCGACUUCUAUAGGAAGAGGUGGAGCUUAUCUUCUUCUUGGUAUGUCCAUUGUCUUGUAUGGUUCAAAAAGAGACACAUGGAAUAUUGGAUGGAUUUUUAUUAACUUCGGUAGAUGUAAACGAUAUGCAAUAGGAUUGAUUUGUGUAGAAAUAGAAAAUGGUCCAAGCCUUCGAUAGUCCAACAUGUCACGAGGACGGGUGGUCUUGAUAUUGUGACAAAGUAGCCAUACCUUAUCACCCAAGUAAAAUGGUGGUUGUUCCUUUCGAUAGACAUCCGCAUUGACCUUUUGUUGUUCUUGAGCUUCUUUUAAUUGCGCCUUCAUCGUUGCAUGUAGCUUUGACAAAUGAAUUGUCAAAUCUUUUGCAACAAGAUUAUCAACUUUUAGAAAGUGAAAAGUAUCAAGUCAUGGAUGAUAACCAUAAUUAACAAAAAAAGGUGUUUGUUUUGUAGAAAAAUGUAUUGUAUUAUUGUAAGCAAACUCUGCCAAUGACAAAAGAGUUGUCCAAUAAUCUUGUUGGUAGUUAAUAGUAUAUCUUAAAUAUUGCUCCAAAACUUGAUUAAUAUGCUCCGUUUGUCCAUCAGUUUGAGGAUGGAAUGUCGAAGAUAGUUUUAUAUCCACUUUUAGAAUCUUGAAAAGAGUCUGCCAAAAUCUUGAUAUAAAUUGAGUUUUCCGAUCUGAUAUAAUAUCCUUGGGUAAUCCAUGAUAGCUAUAGAUAUUGUCAAGAAAGAGCUUAGUUGUUUCUUCACCUGUGAUAAAUUUUGUACAUAGUACAAAAUAUGCCAUCUUGAUAAAACGAUCUACUAUCACGAAUAUAGAGUCAUAAAAACUUGAGAUUGGAAGAUCUGUGAUGAAGUCCAUAGAAACAGAAGACUAUGGUUGUUCUGGAAUGGGUAAUGGCAGUAGAAGUCCAAAAAGUCAAUGACGAGGAGUUUUUGAUCUUGAGCAAACAUCACAUAAUUGUACAAAAUCUUUGACUGCCUUCCACAUUUGAGGCCACCAAAAAUCCCUAAAUAUCGACUCCAAAGUCUUAUUGUAUUCAAAAUAUCCUACUGCUGGGAAGUCGUGACGAGCUUAAAGAGCACUAAAUGUGCUUCUUCUUCUAGAACAUAUAGGCGUCCUUCGAAAUAGAGUAGGUUGUUCUUGAAUUCAAAUUUAGAGGGAUCAUGAGAUUUAGAAGAAUUAUUCUUGAUAUCAUGAACAAGAAGGUCUGAAGAUAUACUUAACUGGACUUGCUUGAGAAAAAUUAAAUCAACACUGAAUGUUGAUUUUAUUGCUCAAAGAUGAAAUUGCUUCGACUUCAAGAGAACCAUUCUUUGUUGCUCAAAAGCUACAUCUCCUUCUUUUGGUAUAAGAUAAGAACGUCUAGAUAAGGCAUCAAAUGAACCUUGUUGUUUUCUUGGCUGAUAAGUGAUGAUGAACUCGAAUCUUGAUAAAAACAUGUUCCAAUGAGCUUGACGACAAUUUAAUACACGUACAAAUAUAAAAUACUCGAGGUUCUUCUGAUUUUUAUAUAUGGUGACUAGAUUGGAAGCGCCUUCUAGAUAAUGAUGCCAUUCUUAAAAAGAAUCCACAAUUGUAAGAAGUUCUUUGUCAUGGAUCUCAUAAUUGAUUUCUGGUGCUGAGAAUUUUUUUGAAUGAAAGGCUACUAGAUGAAGUUUGUCAUCUAUUCCCAUUUGUGACAAAACUGCACCUAGAGCAAAGUCUGAUGCAUCUGUUUCCAUAAAGAACGCUUUGAAAAAAUCAACACCAUACAAGAUUGGUGUAGAAAUAAAUGUUGUCUUCAAAGAUUCAAAAGUAACUUUCGCUUCUUGAUUCCAUUGGAGUUUGUCUUUAUAAGUCAAACAAGUAAGUGGAACUACAACUUGUGAGAAGUCUCUGAUGAAGAUCCAAUAGUAGUUGGCAAAUUCCAAAAAGCAUUAGACAUCUCUUACCAUUUUUGAGAUCUUUCAAUCUAUAAUAGUUUGAACUUUCUUAAGAUCCAUCAUAAGUCCAUCAUUUGAAAUGAUGUAACCUAAGAAAUCGACUUGAGUAGUAUAGAAUACACUAUUCUAUCUUGGCAUAGAAUCCUCCAUUUCUUAAUUUUUGUAACACAUGACGAACAUGAAGUUCAUGUUCUUCUAAAUUUUUAGAAUAGAUCAAGAUGUCGUCUAAAUAACAGACUACAAAAUCGUCCAAAAACUCUCAAAAAAUAUCAUUCAUUAGAUGUUGAAAAGCUACUGGUGCAUUUGUAAGUCCAAAAGGCAUAACGUUGUAUUCAAAAUGUCCAUACCUAGUUCGAAACACAAUCUUCCAUUUAUCUCCUUCUUUGAUGCAUACUAGAUUGUAUGCUCCUCAGAGAUCUAUUUUUGUAUAGAUCUUAGUUUGAUUCAGCUGAUCAAGAAGUCCAAAUAUUAAAGGUAGUGGAUACAUGUUCUUAAUGGUAAUCUUGUUGAGUCCUCGAUAAUCAACAUACAUCCAUAAUGAUCCAUCUUUUUUCUUCACAAAUAGAAUUGGAGCUCCUAUCGGAGAUUUAGAAUGGCGUAUGAAAUUCUUGGCUAGAUUUUCUUUAAUAUACUCCUUGAGUUCAGUCAACUCAUUUUGUGAUAAAUUGUAGAUUGGUCCAAAUAGAGGUUGUACUCUUUCUUGAAGAUCAAUUGAGCAAUCAUAGGAAUGAUGUUCCAAGAGUGUAUCCGCAUUCUUUUUUUUGAAUAUAUCUUGAAAUUCUUGAUAUUGGCUUGGAAUGCCACUUGAAGUCUUUCCACGAGUAGAAACAGGUGUGGCAUAAAUAAUAUAUAGUGAUUCUUUCAUAGCAGCAUGCAAGAAAACUUUUGCACCUAUAAACACGGGUUUAAUUGAACUGGACUUACGACUCUCUACUUGAUUAACUACACUGUUAGUUAUACUUUUAGAGAAAGUAAGAGUUUAUGAAAUCCAAUCUAUUUGAGGGUUGUAUUUUUGUAACCACGAUAAAUCUAAAAUGAUUGGAUUAGAGGGAGAUCUAAUGAUAUUAAAUAUUACAAAGCUAUUAUGACCAUUGAUUAUUACUUCUUUAGGAAGGGUUUUGUGAGUAAUAUCUCUAGAAUAUAAUGGACGACCAUUUAUGACUUCCACAUGAACAGGUUUAGUUUUCUUUACUAAAGAUAUUCUAUGUCUUUUGAUAAAUUCUUCAUCUAAGAAACAUACUGAGGCUCCUAAAUCUAACAAGGCACAAGCUUUAUAAUAUUUAGGUCCUAAAAUAAUAUUUAAUGUAAAACAAGGAGAGGAUUUUGAAGAGAGAAUAAGACCUUUACUAGAUGUUGUGCAAGGUUCCAGCCUCACGGUCCCUAUUGUAGCUGGACAAACUCGUUUUCUGACAUAUUGUCUUCUUUCACAGCCAUACUCCUCAUUUUGUGGUUGCGUCGUUUCUUUGGACAAUGUUGAGCAGUAUGUUUUGGUUCUCUAUAAUAUAAAAAUAAUCCUUCUUCACGACAACAAGUCUUUUCUUGUUUAGUAAGAGGUUUGAAACGUACUGCAUCAAUUUGCAUAUCCUCUACUUCUGAAUGUAUGUGUUGAAGAGAUGUUGGUGUUGCUAUUGAAUUAUAUUUAUAUUGUUAUGAUAUAAUAUGACUAGUAGGUGAAAGGAUGAAGAAAUAUAUCAUGUUUUGAGGAUCUCACUUCAAAAAUAUUGUAGCAAAUUAUCUUGGAAAAGUAGAUAUUAGUAAAAGGGUAGAAAAAUUAAAGGUGCUAAUACUGCCUUUUUACAAAUUAUGCUUCUAUUUACUUUGUAAGGCCAUAAAUAAGGCAAAACAAGGUAUAUUAGAAAAAUAAAGGAUAUAGACAUAUGUAGGGAAGAGCUAGAAGUGCAAAUUAGUAAAAAUUACCUUAAGAAGACGAAAGUUGAUACCUGGAGAAAGCCGGUUAUGUACCAGGGUCGAAAUCAGACCCUGAGGCACAAAACCGAGUCUCGACGACGACUAUAGGACUCUUUGGCAGUUCAAAGAAUGAGAUUUGAUAGAAGAUUGGAUAGGGUUUCUAUAGACGUUGAUUUUGGAUGAUUUGGAGUUGAUAUGACUUUGUAAGAGCUUUGCAAAGUGGAGGUUUGUUUCACAUGACUUGGGUUUUAUGAAAUAAAAUAGGGUUUAUGUUUUGAGUGAUUUCGAGAGUUUUGUUGCAGAUCUAUAAGUGAAAUUUUUUGGAUUCAUGAUUAUAGUUGUGUUAAAUACAUGUUGUGAAUUUGAGCUCGAUCUAAUAGUUGAAGUGAGAGAUAUUAAGGUUUAAGCGGGUCAAGGUCUCAGAAAGUAGAAUUUUAGGUCUAGUGAGGGUUUUUAAGAUUUCAUGCAAUCUACUAGUUAGAUUGGAGUAAACCUUAGGUAAGAGGGUAUUAGACUUGUUUUUCUAUGUCCAUGAGAAAUUUGAAACCAAUUGAAUGGCGCAAAGAAGAGAAAUUGGCUCUGGAAGGUUGGCAUCAAGAUUGGAGAAGGAGGCCGGCUAACACCUGAAUACAUUUUGAGGUUUUCGUCAAUUUGGUUUCUCCGAUCCUUUUCAAAUUUUUUUGUGCUUAUUUUAAACUUGAUUUUUAAGAAGUAU